UGAUGAUGAUGAUGAUGAUGAUGAUGAUGAUGACGAUGAUGAUGAUGACGAUGAUGAUGAUGAUGAUCAUCAUCAUCAUCAUCAUCAUGAUGAUGA
rnacentral:pre_miRNA from 1 species